rnacentral:rRNA from 1 species
GAUGAACGCUGGCGGCGUGCCUAAUACAUGCAAGUCGAGCGAACGGACGAGAAGCUUGCUUCUCUGAUGUUAGCGGCGGACGGGUGAGUAACACGUGGAUAACCUACCUAUAAGACUGGGAUAACUUCGGGAAACCGGAGCUAAUACCGGAUAAUAUUUUGAACCGCAUGGUUCAAAAGUGAAAGACGGUCUUGCUGUCACUUAUAGAUGGAUCCGCGCUGCAUUAGCUAGUUGGUAAGGUAACGGCUUACCAAGGCAACGAUGCGUAGCCGACCUGAGAGGGUGGUCGGCCACACUGGAACUGAGACACGGUCCAGACUCCUACGGGAGGCAGCAGUAGGGAAUCUUCCGCAAUGGGCGAAAGCCUGACGGAGCAACGCCGCGUGAGUGAUGAAGGUCUUCGGAUCGUAAAACUCUGUUAUUAGGGAAGAACAUAUGUGUAAGUAACUGUGCACAUCUUGACGGUACCUAAUCAGAAAGCCACGGCUAACUACGUG